UACAGAGGUCUCAAGCGUUGUUCGGAUUCAUUGGGCGUAAAGGGUGCGUAGGCGGCGCGGUAAGUCGGGUGUGAAAUCUUGGAGCUUAACUCCGAAACUGCAUUCGAUACUGGCGUGCUUGAGGACUGGAGAGGAGACUGGAAUUCAUGGUGUAGCAGUGAAAUGCGUAGGGAUCAUGAGGAAGACCAGUGGCGAAGGCGGGUCU
rnacentral:rRNA from 1 species